rnacentral:rRNA from 1 species
AUGCUGGCGCUCCUGUCUCCUGUGGCGCCGGCCGUGGUGGAUCUCCAGGCGGCGCUGGGCUCUGCGGGCACGGUGGCCAAGGUGCGGCGCUCCCGGGCUUCCCCGGUCCCUCAGCGUGCCCCCAGCGCGGAUCGUGGUGAGCUAGUGACUCUUAUCUAUGCUCGCGAGGAGGCCCAAGCGGCUUUGGCAGAAGCCGCUGCUGCGGCCAAGGCCAGGGACGCCGUGGUCAUGACGCGGGUGAUCCCUGCCGACCCUGUGCCUUCGGGUACCCCCACCUUGCUUGUCCUGUCGGAGCGUGCUGCUGCUACCAGGGAGGUUGCCGCAGUGCCAACGACUAGCCGUGCCCAGGCUAAGAAACGCGUGGCUAAACCGAAUCUCGCUCGCCUCCUGGGCGAUUACAAAAAUAAUUGCAACAUCGACUGGUCUAGGAUCUCCCUUUUCAACAACGCCAUUGCGGCCUGCGCCCUACGGGAACUCGCUAGGACUGGGGCCAGAUAUACUUGGACCAAUAAACAACUCAACCCGGUCCGUAGUGUCCUCGACCGUGUGUUCGUUUCGGCCGACUGGGAGAUGAUCUUUCCCAUGUGUACCUUGGUCACUGAAACUCGCAUCGGCUCUGACCACGUGCCGCUGAUUCUGGCUUCUGGGGAAGAUAGGAUCAAGCGUAGCAAACGUUUUUACUUCGAACCAGGGUGGUUUGAGGUAGAGGGGUUCAUCCCUUUGCUCCUCGCUCGUUGGGAGCUUGCCAGGACUGCGGGUGGCCGUUCCAGGGCCCCCCUUGACGCUUGGAUUUCGGCAGCCGGGGCCCUGCGUGGCUUCCUUCGUGGGUGGGGCACAAACCAUGGUAGCGAUGCCAAGCGAGCUAGGGAAGCUCUUAUCGAGGAAAUCAAAGCUCUCGAUUGCCCUGUUUGCCGCAUUGGUUUUGAGGACUCGCAACAUUGCCUAUUUACAUGUAAGCGAGCAUUGGAUAUAUGGACUGAACUUGGGGUGAAACGAGAGAUACAAAGAUCAGUCCUGGAAGAUCGAUCUGGUGCUAUCACCAUGGAUACUCUGAUGGGACAGCAAACAUUGAUAGGCGAGAUUCCAAUGGCAGAGCUAGUAGCAGUGGCGAGCUGGUAUAUUUGGUGGCAGAGGCGUCAGCUUGUUAAGGGAGAACCUGUAAGGCCACCUGACUAUGCUACAUUCUGUGGGGAAACUAUGAAAGGAGCUACAGGAGCAGUAGCUCGAGAUGAUCAGGACGGGUUCAUAGCUGCAGCUUCAUGGUUCAUACCACAUGUACAGAAUGCAGAAGCGGCAGAGAUAGCAGCGAUCCGUAAUGGAUUCUAUUUGGCUGCAAAAAUUGGAUGCAAUUCAGUAAUAGUUGAAUCCGAUAGUAUGAACACUAUUGAGGCAACAAACCAACAUGAGUAUCUAGGCCCAGAAACAGCAAUCAUUUCUGAAAGUAAAUCUCUUGGGAAGGAACUAUCAAAGGCCGAUGUGGUUCAUUGUUUCCGGAAAGCCAACAGUGUAGCUGAUAGUAUUGCAAAACACUCUUAG